UACGGGAGGCAGCAGUGAGGAAUAUUGGUCAAUGGACGAGAGUCUGAACCAGCCAAGUAGCGUGCAGGAUGACGGCCCUAUGGGUUGUAAACUGCUUUUAUAAGGGAAUAAAGUGAGUCUCGUGAGACUUUUUGCAUGUACCUUAUGAAUAAGGACCGGCUAAUUCCGUGCCAGCAGCCGCGGUAAUACGGAAGGUCCGGGCGUUAUCCGGAUUUAUUGGGUUUAAAGGGAGCGUAGGCCGGAGAUUAAGCGUGUUGUGAAAUGUAGAUGCUCAACAUCUGCACUGCAGCGCGAACUGGUUUCCUUGAGUACGCACAAAGUGGGCGGAAUUCGUGGUGUAGCGGUGAAAUGCUUAGAUAUCACGAAGAACUCCGAUUGCGAAGGCAGCUCACUGGAGCGCAACUGACGCUGAAGCUCGAAAGUGCGGGUAUCGAACAGGAUUAGAUACCCUGGUAGUCCGCACGGUAAACGAUGGAUGCCCGCUGUUGGUCUGAAUAGGUCAGCGGCCAAGCGAAAGCAUUAAGCAUCCCACCUGGGGAGUACGCCGGCAACGGUGAAACUCAAAGGAAUUGACGGGGGCCCGCACAAGCGGAGGAACAUGUGGUUUAAUUCGAUGAUAC
rnacentral:rRNA from 1 species